GCGCGCCUAGGGCCGGUGGGUGGCGGGGGAGGCAGAGUUGACCCCUGCCAAUCGUUCAGACCGUCAUACGUGGAGUAGGGAGGUGGGAGACCUGGCCGGGUGUGGGGACUGCCCCGGCGGGGUAGACAUGGGAGGUGGUUGGGCGCGGCGGGGUGAGGGGCAGAGAUGCGUGGGGAGAGGGUCAGAGGAGGGAUGCGGAAGCAGUGAGUGGACAGGAGUGCGCGUGCCAAAGAGACCUGUGGGACGUGAGGGUAGCUUGGACCGGAACUCUCGCUGGAGGAUCCCAUUGCCCUCUGGAGCGAGCAGGGGACCGCUUCCCACCGUAUUCUCCCGUCAUUGUUCAGAACCCGGGGAGAGCCCAUUGGGGAUUGGGUUGGAAGGAGUUUUCAGGGAUUCCCAGGACUGGAAGAGUGAAGAAGAUGUACCCAGAAGAGGCGCAGAUCACCACCAGCCUUCUCGCUCCCCACCCCCACCUCCUCGUCUAAAGGAGCCAGAGGGAAAGCUGAAGGCAGGCCCAGUCUUGCAGCCGGAAAACCCGAUCUCUCUAGUUUUCCUUCACCGAACCCUACUGUAACAGACACUGCCUAUUUUGUCACAUUUCGCAAGCAAAGUUAAUACCCCCCCCCCAUCCACACCCCUUCCUUAUCACUCCUCUGAGGUUCUAUUCUCCUUUCUCCACCCAGUAUCCUCUAUCUGGUUGUUUAUCUUUUUAAGUUCUUGUAUCAUACCCCUGGCCUGUGAUUUCUUCUGUAGUAAUUCUGGCCCAGAUAACACACUGAAAAGCCUUCAGAGCCUGUAAUGUUCUUAGAUAAACCUUUAACCAUUGGCCCUUUUAAAAAUGGGCUUUAGGAGAUGUUUCUAAGGCAGCCGUCUCUGUCAAACGCAGAACCAGUAGAAAGACGACCUCCUCUCCCCAAGCUGUUCGCUUGUCUGAUACAAUAUUUAAAACAUGAACCAAGGAAUUGGUUUUAGCUCCUAAUUUUGGAUGGCCUGUGGCCAGUCUCUUUGCCUCAUUUCCCCAUCUGUGAGGAUGGGGCUUCACAUCUUGGUUACACAGUGGAGGAAGUAAGUGCAAACUGUUUCUGGCGAACUGGGAACUAGGAAUAGGAGAGUAAGUGCUUGAAGAGCCACAGAUGGGAGAGUAUUGGUGAAGGGGAAAUUCUAAGUGGACAAAACAAACUUGUGGCUUGGAGGCAUUUUGAAAAAAAAAAAAAAUGCUUUUAACCAACUGCUUAAAUUGAAUAUAUUGUGUCUUCUAAUCUCUUUUAUAAAGCCAUAGAUUUUAUCUGUAAAACAAAGAACAACUUUCCUUGAAGUAACACAGGCAGUGAGCAGUAGCUACUGUUUCCUGUCAGGGGCUGCAGUUACUUAUAUUUUAGGUUAGCUUGCUUCUUGUCUUCAGCUUUGCUUACCAGUUCCUUUGCAUUUUAAAUGUUUGAGCGAAUCAGCUUAGUGGCUUAUUUUGGGUGAUUGCUGGGUACUUUUUUGAGCAGUGUAGCACAUAGGAGGAAGUUAAAUUAACUUCUGCAUUUUCACAGCUGAUCUUAAGUGAAUUAAUUCGCAAGUUUAGACUAGCAAAAAAUGAGACCUGGAUGGUUAUAAGCUGAUCUACAAGAUACAUCCCUGUGCAUUUUCAAGUAGAAGCAUGCCUUGUAGUGUAGGAGUAUAUUCACAUCUACUUGUGUUUUAAUAACUCCCGAUUCUGAAAUGUAGCCCCUUAUAGAGCUUCAACUCUUUGCCCUUUUAGAAUAGCUCGCUUAAAAAGAUUUACUAAUCAUUUCAGCUGGAAUAAAGUAGUCACUCAAGUCCGGAAGGGAUAAGUUAGAAUUUCUGGGCCUUUUUUUUUUUUUUAACAAAGUAUAUGUUGUAGCAAUGUCAAAUAGUGGAACAGGGCAGCAAGUUUUUGGCUUUUACUCUGGCCCAUCUUCCCUUUGAGAUGUGACUUUAAAUAAGUGGGCUCAAAGCAUGUUCUUCUGGAAAGCACUUUGAAAAUCUUUUGAAAGAGACCAUGAUAUUCAGCCUCGAAGGCAGGGCUUUCCUGGGAUUGCAUGUGUACCUUUUAGCAGAAGCCUGCCUCUAGAAGGAGUGUGAAUUUCCAGGCAUACCACCAGUAAGGUGAGGCGGCAGUGAAGUAGUUAAGUAUUUAUCAAAGCGCAGGCCUAGCCAGAACUUCCAGAGAAGGCUAUCUGGUGUGAUAAUCAUAAACAUUUAUGGGGUUCUGCCAGUGCUCAGCACCAGGCAGGAACAGAAAAGAGGGGCCUUUCUGAGAGAGUCUGUUAGCAAAGUUACAGAGGAGCGUUGGGGUGGACAUUAAAGAAAGGCAAUAGCUUGGAGGAGAAACCCUGGAGAUUGGAAAGGCUUGGGAACCUGCUGGGAGAGGUCAGCCCCUCCCUGCUUUACACUUCUCAGCAAAUCAGUUGGGGAAAUUAGAUUCACAGUGGCCUUCCUCACAGUGGACCUUCCAACUCUGUGAUGUCCAGUAAUGAUAGCCAGCAGCUGUGUGUGGUAAUUAAGUUUAAAUAAAAAUUGAAGUGAAUUAAAAUUAGGCUCCUCAGUUACACUAGCCACAGGUCGAGGCUCAGUUGCUGUGUGUGGCUAGUAGCAGCCGUAUUUGGGCAGCACAGAUAGAGAGCAUUUCCACUAUUGCUGAAAGUUCUAUUGGAUAACACUGCUCCAGCUACUGAAAAUGUAAGUAUGAGAUCGUCUUAAAAAUAGUUCUGUGGUAUAUACUUGAGAGUACAGUUAUAGUAAUUUUGCUUUUGAAGUUGGUCUUUUUUUGAAUGGUACCUCUCAGAGCAUGGUAAUGGAUUUAUGGUAGGUCCGUCUCCGUGGGCCUAUCAUAGUGUACCCAUGCUAGAGUAGACUGCAGCCUCAAACCGCUGCUCAGCCUCCUUACCUGUGGGCUGCGAGCACUGAAGGGAGUUUGUACAGUGUGAAAAUAAGAUGAUGCCUCUCAUCAUCCUGCUGAAUCUUGCCUGUGACAUCCUACUAAAAGCCUAAAUCUCCUUUGGUACCUGAUUCUGAGGGUUAGCACAAUCCCAGAAGCUCUCUCAACCACUGCUUCAAAGUCUGAUCUCCUCUCACUCCACCCAAAAGAAAAACUAAUUCAUUGAUCACCUUCCAGAACCGUGCACUUUGCAGUAAGCUUUUAGUUUCACUUCCUUUCAUAAUGUGCCUAUGUAGCAGAUAGCAGUUCUGAUUUACAGUUGGCAAAACUGGGACUCUUGGGAGUUACUGAGGGAGUAGACGCUGUGAGGCAUUGUGCAGGCACCCUUCCCUGCUGAUUCCUGAUGUUGUUUAAGAUAUGUCACACCCAGGCUAUAAUCAUCUCAGUCUGGUACAUCUGGGCAAGUGGUCUAGAGAUCCUGCCAAUGGGCUGCCCUAAGGGCUGUAGGGAUUGUUAUCUCAGCAUAUCUGUAACUUAGUCACAAGACUCUUGGGAAACUUUGCUGUCCACAUAGCAUCUCACUUAGUCUUCACAACAACCUUGUGUGGUAGAUAUUUUUAAUCUCCAUUUUCUAGAAAAGGAACCUUUGGCUCGCGGACAUUUGAGUACCGUUGCCUGUGGUUUCUUAGCCAGAAAGUGACAGAAUUUGAGGUGAAGAGUCAGCUCUGAAAGACGUGCUUUUUCUAUGAUGAAACGCACUCUCAGCAUCCAAAACUCCAGCAGACAGUAGAACAGAAAACCAUUUACCUUUUUGGCCUAUUAAAUGGUAUCCUUCCCUCCAGACCAGUCUUAACCCCUGCUAGCUCACAAUUUUAAACCACAAAAGUAAAUAACAGAUACCCAGAAUUGUGUGUCUGUUAUGUAAUAUUUAAAUAUAUCACAGUUCCAGGUCUCGGAAUUGUGAUAUAUUUCCCACUCCAUGCAGUCUCCUGGUUGGGGCACAGGCCUCUGACUUCCAGAAGACUUUUUGGGAAGACUUCUUUGGCCUGGUGCUCUCCUCAGCAGCCUGCCUCUCUCUGCAACCUUUAUGCAGCCAUAAAUAGUAAACUAAAAUAUUAAUGGCAAUGAUUUGACAAAUAGUCCCAGUUCGGUCAGCAAACCACUUAGUAUAGAUUUUAGCGACUUCUCCCAGUGGGGAUCUGUGCUCAGGGAACUUUCCUGCCUAGAGAAAUUCAAAUUGUCAGAGUCAAAAUGUUGGAGCCCUAAGGUUAUUUAUCUGUAGUUGAUUUUUCUCAGUCUGUUGAUGAAGUAAGAAAGUGAGGAUCGUGGUCCUUCCUAGCUGAGUAAAGCCUAAAGGUUAAAAACAAAAACAAACCCCAGCUGCCUACUAAGUGAUGCAACAUGGACUUUUAUAAGCCUCCACCCUGCCUCUUUGGCACAGCCAACCUUACUUAGGAAAGUGUGUUCAGUGCUCCCUCCUGUCAUGCAGCUUCUUAAUAUUUCAUUCAAAUGGGCCGUAGAUUAAUAUUUGUACUUCUUUGCUCUUGUUUUCUAGAGAUGAGGAAUGGUAGUUGGCCAUCCAUUGCCUUAAUCUCCAGGCUACAAUUUCAAAUGAAAGAUCAGAAAUGAUUUAAAUUUUCAUCCUAUUCUUUUCAUCUAAACUCACUGCUUCUCCAUAAACCCACUGGAUGCUUCCAUUCUCAGACACCCGAAAUGCUUUUCCUAAGUCAUACAUGAAUGGCUUUGAAGAAGCAAGGUGGAACUUUGUGUGUGAUUUGUAUAGGUUGAUUUUAUAGCAGGGCUAACAUAUGCAUAACAGAAGCCAGUUUUCUUGAAAGCUGUUGUUUAGCCCUGCAGCAGGUUUUUAACAGUCAUAAACCAUGUUAUUUAUUCUGCUAUUUCCCAGCAACUCUGGAGGGUAACUCAGUCUUGGUUCCUUUUACAGUUGAGGGAAUGGAAAUAGUAAAAAAAAAAAAAAAAAAAAACUGAUAUAUGCUUGAUUGUGAGGUCUUUAGCAAGUUAGGCAAGAAUAAAUGUCAAAAUGUGUAUAUCUUGUCUGCUGGCCCAUAAAACAAAGUGGAAUCAUUGGAGUUAUAGAUCAUUAGCUGAUAAAACCAUAGAGUCUUUCUUCGCUUCCUACCAUUGGGCUUUGAGGAGAAGUGAGGAAAGUAUAUGAAGAAGCUUUUCACUGGGGCUUAAUUGACCAUUACCGGUUAUUGUUAGCUAGUAUGUCAUGCUUUGUAGUUAAUAACUCAGCAGCAUUUAGCGAAUAGAAAUCCAUGUACUGCGCCUAGCUGGGAAUUGCACAGAAAACGUUAGACUGUCGUUGCCUUUCAGUAUAAGGUCUUUGUGUCUCUUCUCUUGUUUUAUCUUUAGCAGUUGUAUGACGUAGGUAGCACUUGCGUUCUCUCAUUUUAUACCUGAGUAGGUGAGAAAAUGAAGGCAUUCAGUGCUAGUUUGUCUGAAAAGGAGCUCUCUUUGUGGAUCAAGAGUAACAAACCCAGCUAGUAUUAGUAUCCAUGAGGAGACUAGUAUCCAUGAGGAGGCGGGUUCAAUCCCUAGUCCCACUCAGUGGGUUAAGGAUCCUGUGUUGCUAUGGUGUAGGCUAGCAGCUACAGCUCUGAUUUGACCCUUAGCCUGGGAACUUGCAUACGCCGCUGGUGUGGCCCUAAAAAGACAAAGAAGGAAAAGAGAAGGCUUUAGUUGGGAAAAAAGGUAUCUUGACUGUUCUCAGUGACUUCGCAUUGUUAUUUUGUACUCCGCUUUCCAUGGAAGUACAACAUUGGAAUUUAAAACCAAAACCAAAAAAAAAAAAAAAAACUAGG